rnacentral:rRNA from 1 species
UGAGUAACCUGCCCUUAACUCUGGGAUAAGCCUGGGAAACUGGGUCUAAUACCGGAUAUGACUCCUCAUCGCAUGGUGGGGGGUGGAAAGCUUUAUUGUGGUUUUGGAUGGACUCGCGGCCUAUCAGCCUGUUGGUGAGGUAAUGGCUCACCAAGGCGACGACGGGUAGCCGGCCUGAGAGGGUGACCGGCCACACUGGGACUGAGACACGGCCCAGACCUCCGUACGGGAGGCAG